rnacentral:tRNA from 1 species
CAAAGCGUAGCUUAAAUAAAGCACCCGGCUUACACCCGGGAAAUUUCGUACAUAGCGAACGCUCUGA